rnacentral:rRNA from 1 species
AUCAGAGCCAUAAACACUCUGCAGUUCUCACCUGGUUUUCCACUGAAGCUAAGCAGAGUUGAGCCUGGCCAGUAUCUGGAUGGGAGACCUCCUAAGGAAAACUAAGGUUACUGAUG